AUGUCCUCCCUCGCGGCCGCCGCCGCCGCCGCCGCAGCCGCCGCCUCCACCUGGGUAAAAAGCCUCUCCCGCAUCAUCUCCUCCUCCACGCCAGCCGUAAAACCACCCAAACGCAAUCCCAAGACCAAGCCCGCGCCGCCCGCCGCCGAUGCCGACUCCAUCGCGGAUCAGAAGCUCACGAAGCCCCUUGGCGGUGUCCUCAAGGCCCUCAUCAGGGAGCAGGACCCUGAUAAGCUGGUCUCCAAGUUCGUCGAAGCCUCGUCCGCAUCGUCGCGCUUCCGCGACGGGCGCCGCGUGUACGAUGUAGCGGUGAGCCGCCUCACCUCCUUGGGCCGCAAGGACGGCAUCGAGGCCAUCAUCGACGCGCAGAAGCCCUUCCUCGAGACCUCGACCGAGGGAUUUGCCACGCGCCUCAUCCGCCUCUACGGCAGUGCCUCCAUGCCAUCCCACGCGGCCGCAACCUUCCAUCAACUUCCUGCGCGGCAUAAGUCCACCAUGACAUUCAACGCCGUCCUUGCCGCGUACGCCAAAGCCGGAGAUGUUGACGCGCUCACUGCUGCAUUCCAGGAGAUCCCAGCCGCCCACCCCUCCAUUGUUCCCGACUUAUACUCUUACAACACGCUCAUCCGCACAUUGUGCCAGAAGUCCAAACUCUCAGCCGCUCUUGAUGCUGUUCAUCUCAUGAAGAAGCACGGUGUUUCACCUGACAUUAUUACUUUCAACUCGCUCUUGGAUGGGUUUCACAACAGUGGCCGUAAUGAUGAAGCCGAGGCAGUAUGGGAAAUGAUUAAGGAGAGGAAUAUGGAGCCAGACGCAAAGUGCUACAAUGCAAAGCUGCGUGGUUUGGUUGCACAUGGGAGGAUUGAUGAUGCAGCUGCUGUGCUUGAGAGGUUGGAGAAGGACGGGCCAAAAACCAAUAUAGUAUCCUACAAUGAGUUGAUUCUAGGAUAUUGCAAAGCAGGGAGGUUCCAGGAGGCCAAGAAGGUGUAUGGUAAUUUGAUGAAGAACGAGUGUGUCCCAAAUAAGGGGACAUAUGAGACUCUCGUGCCACACCUUGUGCAGGCUGGAGAGCUGGAUUGUGCACUGAGGUACUGUUAUGAGAUCUUUGCUAAUAAAAAGUGCUGUGGAGUCGAGUGUGGUGUGCUGCAGGAUGUAGUGAAUGCAUUGGUAAAUGCAUCGAGGGUGAAGGAGGCUACCAAGCUUGUUGAGCUCGGGCAGAAGUCCAACUAUCAUCGGAAGUACUAUCAUCUGAAAUUGAUGAGGAAGAAUCAAUAUCAGAAGAAAAGGAGUGUGAAAGUGGAAGAUGGGACUGAAAAAUAA
rnacentral:rRNA from 1 species